GGAGGAGUCGCAUAGUUGGUCCAUUGCGAGGGAUUGCUAAUCCCUUGAGCCGCAAGGCUCGCGCGAGUUCGAAUCUCGCCUCCUCCGCCA
rnacentral:tRNA from 1 species